ACUGGAAUCAGCAACUCCCUGGAACUCGGGCCUCUGGCCCCGUCCCUCUUUUCUCCGGCAGGGACGCAGGAUGCCUUGGUGCACUCUAGAGACGGGGACCGGAGGGUGCAGCGCGCCUGGGUGGGGCGAAGGGCGCCGGUCUCCUCACGCCCUCUGACUUUAGGAUACCAGACAGUGUCUCUUCAACCCCACCCCAGGCGCAGGUUUCCAGAAGGCGGGGUGGGUGGGGCCCCCGAUUUCCAGAAGGCAUUUUAUUAAUGCUUUUACGAGUUAGAAGAGUUGGGAUAAUUUGCCAUCUGGAGUUUCUCUGCCUUGCUGAUCUGAGCUCAGACCUGCCAAUUUACCAGAGAUAAUUGAUAACACCCUGUAACAGCUGAGAGGAAAAUGGAAGAAACGGAGAUACUUUUAGUGAAGCAGAAUAAACCACUGAACAGCGUUGGCUGAAAAACAUAAGGUCUGUUUCAUCUUCAUAAAAACGCUGCUUUCAGUGCACUGGAUUUAUUUUACAACCCACUAAUGGAUUACCCUACAGUUUGAAAAACAUUGCGUUAGACCAGUUUGACUGUUGUCAAGAACCAAAAAAGAUGGAGUUUCACUCUUCC
rnacentral:lncRNA from 1 species